GACGAACGCUGGCGGCGUGCUUAACACAUGCAAGUCGAACGGACAGGCCCUGCUUUUGUGGGGCGCUCGAGUGGCGCACGGGUGAGUAACACGUGAGUAACCUCUCCUUGUCUUUGGGAUAACUUCACGGAACUGCGGCGCUUACCGCAUAGGAGAUCCUGCUGCAUGGUGUGGGUUGGAAAGUUUCGGCGUUUGGGGAUGGACUCGCGGCUUAUCAGCUGGUUGGUGGGGUAGUGGCUUACCAAGGCUUUGACGGGUAGCCGGCCUGAGAGGGUGACCGGCCACAUAGGGACUGGGGUACGGCCCAUACGCCUACGGGCGGCAGCAGCGAGGGAUAGAGCACAAAGGGCGGAGGCCUGAAGCAGCAACGCCGCGUGCGAGAUGACGGCCUUCGGGUUGUAAACCGCUUUCACCUAUCACGAAGCGUCAGUAACGUUAAUAGGUAAAGAAGCACCGCCUAACUACGU
rnacentral:rRNA from 1 species